rnacentral:rRNA from 1 species
GUCAAGUUGUUAAGAGCACAUGGUGGAUGCCUGGGCAUCAGGAGCCGAUGAAGGACGUGGGAGGCCGCGAUAGGCCUCGGGGAGCUGUCAACCGAGCUGUGAUCCGAGGGUGUCCGAAUGGGGAAACCCAGCGCCCGUCAUGGGGCGUUACCCGUACCUGAAUUCAUAGGGUGCGUGGAGGGAACGUGGGGAAGUGAAACAUCUCAGUACCCACAGGAAGAGAAAACAAUAGUGAUUCCGUGAGUAGUGGCGAGCGAAAGCGGAAGAGGCUAAACCGUGUCCGUGUCAAGCCGGCAGGCGUUGCGGGUGCGGGGUUGUGAGACGUGUCGUUCAUCUUCUGCCGAGGAUGGGACAGCAAGUGCCUGUGUUAGCGGAACGACUCUGGGAUGGUCGGCCGUAGUGGGUGAUAGCCCCGUACGCGAAAACACUGGGUUCUGUUGUGGGCGUGUUCUCGAGUAGCAGCGAGCCCGUGAAAUUCGCUGUGAAUCUGGCGGGACCACCCGUCAAGCCUAAAUACUACCUGAUGACCGAUAGCGGACAAGUACCGUGAGGGAAAGGUGAAAAGUACCCCGGGAGGGGAGUGAAAUAGUACCUGAAACCGUGUGCUUACAAGCCGUCAGAGCCUUUCGGGGUGAUGGCGUGCCUUUUGAAGAAUGAGCCUGCGAGUUAUGCUUCGUGGCGAGGUUAACCUGUGUGGGGUAGCCGUAGCGAAAGCGAGUCCGAAUAGGGCGUCUGAGUCGCGGGGUGUAGACCCGAAGCGGAGUGAUCUACCCAUGGCCAGGGUGAAGCGUCGGUAAGACGUCGUGGAGGCCCGAACCCACCAGGGUUGAAAACCUGGGGGAUGAGCUGUGGGUAGGGGUGAAAGGCCAAUCAAACUUCGUGAUAGCUGGUUCUCUCCGAAAUGCAUUUAGGUGCAGCGUCGUGUGUUUCUCACCGGAGGUAGAGCACUGGAUGGCCUAGGGGGCCGACAAGCUUACCGAAGUCAGCCAAACUCCGAAUGCCGGUGAGUGAGAGCGCGGCAGUGAGACUGCGGGGGAUAAGCUUCGUGGUCGAGAGGGAAACAGCCCAGAUCACCGGCUAAGGCCCCUAAGCGUGCGCUAAGUGGGAAAGGAUGUGGGAUCGCCCGGACAACCAGGAGGUUGGCUUAGAAGCAGCCACCCUUGAAAGAGUGCGUAAUAGCUCACUGGUCAAGUGGUCCUGCGCCGACAAUGUAGCGGGGCUCAAGCGCACCGCCGAAGCCGUGGCAAUGACACUUUGGUGUUGUUGGGUAGGGGAGCGUCCUGCAUCUGGUGAAGCCCGGGAGUGAUUUACGGGUGGAGGGUGUGGGAGUGAGAAUGCAGGCAUGAGUAGCGAAUGCAGAGUGAGAAUCUCUGCCGCCGGAUGACCAAGGGUUCCUGGGCCAGGUUGUUCCGCCCAGGGUGAGCCGGGACCUAAGGCGAGGCCGUCAGGCGUAGUCGAUGGACAACGGGUUGAUAUUCCCGUGCUCGUGAUAGUGCGUCCAUGCCGAGGCUGGUGAUGCUAACCAUCCGAACCCACCUUCGCUCCUUCGGGAGUGUUGUUUGUGGGGGAGCGUGGGAUCCGAUCUGGUAGUAGGCAAGUGAUGGGGUGACGCAGGAGGGUAGCUCCGCCACGCGGUGGUUGUCGUGGUGUAAGCCUGUAGCCCGAGUCCUAGGUAAAUCCGGGGCUCAUUAAAGGGUGAGAGGUGAUGCGUAGCCGAUUGAGGCGAAGAGAGUGAUCCCAUGCUGUCGAGAAAAGCCUCUAGCGAGUGCUGUUGCGGCCCGUACCCCAAACCGACACAGGUGGUCAGGUAGAGAAUACCGAGGCGAUCGAGCGAACUGUGGUUAAGGAAUUCGGCAAAAUACCUCCGUAACUUCGGGAGAAGGAGGGCCGGU